GGACCAAGGAGUCUAGCAUGUGCGCGAGUCAUUGGGACUCUAACGAAACCUAAAGGCGCAAUGAAAGUGAAGGUUCGCCUCGCGCGAACCGAGGGAGGAUGGGUGGUCGCGAGUGGCCGCCCCGCACUCCCGGGGCGUCUCGUUCUCAUCGCGAGAAGAGGCGCACCCAGAGCGUACACGCUGGGACCCGAAAGAUGGUGAACUAUGCCUGGUCAGGACGAAGUCAGGGGAAACCCUGAUGGAGGUCCGUAGCGAUUCUGACGUGCAAAUCGAUCGUCGGAACUGGGUAUAGGGGCGAAAGACUAAUCGAACCAUCUAGUAGCUGGUUCCCUCCGAAGUUUCCCUCAGGAUAGCUGGCGCUCGCUUCUUGCGAGUCUCAUUCGGUAAAGCGAAUGAUUAGAGGCAUUGGGGUCGAAACGGCCUCAACCUAUUCUCAAACUUUAAAUGGGUGAGAUCUCCGGCUUGCUUGAACUGUGAAGCCGCGAGAUAUCGGAUCAGAGUGCCAAGUGGGCCACUUUUGGUAAGCAGAACUGGCGCUGUGGGAUGAACCAAACGCCGAGUUAAAGCGCCUAAAUCGACGCUUAUGGGAUACCAUGAAAGGCGUUGGUAACUUAAGACAGCAGGACGGUGGCCAUGGAAGUCGGAA
rnacentral:rRNA from 1 species